UCCGCAUUAGUCUAUAUGGUUAGGAUAUCAGACUCUCACUCUGAUGGGCCGGGUUCAAUCCCCGGAUGCGGAA